rnacentral:rRNA from 1 species
UGGGGAAUAUUGCACAAUGGGCGCAAGCCUGAUGCAGCCAUGCCGCGUGUAUGAAGAAGGCCUUCGGGUUGUAAAGUACUUUCAGCGGGGAGGAAGGGAGUAAAGUUAAUACCUUUGCUCAUUGACGUUACCCGCAGAAGAAGCACCGGCUAACUCCGUGCCAGCAGCCGCGGUAAUACGGAGGGUGCAAGCGUUAAUCGGAAUUACUGGGCGUAAAGCGCACGCAGGCGGUUUGUUAAGUCAGAUGUGAAAUCCCCGGGCUCAACCUGGGAACUGCAUCUGAUACUGGCAAGCUUGAGUCUCGUAGAGGGAGGUAGAAUUCCAGGUGUAGCGAUGAAAUGCGUAGAGAUCUGGAGGAAUACCGGUGGCGAAGGCGGCCCCCUGGACGAAGACUGACGCUCAGGUACGAAAGCGUGGGGAGCAAACAGG